rnacentral:snoRNA from 15 species
UGGCUAUGAGGAAACACCUGUCUGAUCAUUUGAACUGAUGAGACCAAUCACCUCCUACUCAUUCUGA